UGAGUUAUCUCAAUUGAUUGUUCACAGUCAGUUACAGAUCGAACUCCUUGUUCUACUCUUUCCCCCCUUCUCACU
rnacentral:scRNA from 5 species